GGAUAGGUACAGCUCAGUGGUAGAAUGCAUGCUUAGCACGCAUGAGGUCCUGGGUUCAAUCCCCAGCACCUCCA
rfam:Camelus ferus unplaced genomic scaffold scaffold2276, whole genome shotgun sequence.